GAUAAGUGUGUUAGCAGAGUCUCUUUGUUGUGUUUUUAAAGUGUGAGCAUGUCUAAAGUCCAAAUGCUGAGAGCGUUGGUGAAGCAGCGACUAACUGCGGCUGCUGAAGAGAUAUUUGGGCUGGUUGAAAGAACGAUAGCAGAGUACGAGGAGGAACUUUGUCGAUCAAAAGAGGAGAACGAGCGACAACGGAAACUAAUGGACGCUGUUUUCAACCCUCAGCUUCGGUUACACAGAGCAGACGCCCAGCAGCUGUUGGUGGUUAAAGAAGAGGUUCCCCCUGAGCAGCAGGAGUGGAGCUCCAGUGUGGACCAGGAGGACCCAGAGCCUCCACACAUUAAAGGGGAACAGGAGGAACUCUGGAUCAGUCAAGAGGGAGAGCAGCUUCAAGGGCUGGAGGAGGGUGAUAUCACCAAGUUCACAUCCACUCCUGUCCCUGUGAAGAGUGAAGAUGAUGAAGAGAAACCUCAGUCCUCACAGCUUCAUCAAAGACACACUGAACUGAUGGAAACAGAAGCAGAGGGAGAGGACUGUGGAGGACCAGAACCAGCCAGGAAUUCAGAUUUGGAUACACAUUUACAACCUGAGACUGAUGACGAGACUGGAGAGUCUUCUGAACCUGAGACUGAUGACAGUGAUGAUUGGACGGAGACCAGAGAACCUCAGUCAGACGUCCAGCAGCUGUUGGUGGUUAAAGAAGAGGUUCCUCCUGAGCAGCAGGAGUGGAGCUCCAGUGUGGACCAGGAGGCCCCAGAGCCUCCACACAUUAAAGUGGAACAGGAGGAACUCUGGAUCAGUCAGGAGGGAGAGCAGCUUCAAGGGCUGGAGGAGGAUGAUAUCACCAAGUUCACAUCCACUCCUGUCCCUGUGAAGAGUGAAGAUGAUGAAGAGAAACCUCAGUCCUCACAGCUUCAUCAAAGACACACUGAACAGAUGAGAACAGAAGUGGAAGGAGGGCACUAUGGAGAAGCAAAACCAUCCAGGAACUCAGAUUUGGAUAGACAUUUACAACCUGAGACUGAUGACAAGACUGGAGUGUCUUCUGAACAAGAGACUGAUGACAGUGAUGACUAUUGGAAGGAGACCAGAGAACCUCAGUCAGGUUUAAACUCUCUAAAAAAUGAUCAAGUCUCUGUCAGUGAUUUGAUUGUUUGUGAGAAACGUUUUAGCUGCUCUGAGUGUGGGAAAAGAUUUGAUUACAGUGGAGAUUUGAAGAUACACAUGAGAUCUCAUACAGGAGAGAAACCAUUUAGCUGUUCUGUGUGUGGGAAAAGAUUUGGUCGUAAUGGAAUUCUGAAGCAACACAUGAUAGCUCAUACAGGAGAGAAACCAUUUAGCUGUUCUGAGUGUGGGAAAAGGUUUGGUCGUCGUGGAAUUCUGAAGCAACACAUGAUAGCUCAUACAGGUGAGAAACCAUUUAGCUGCACUGAGUGUGAGAAAAAAUUUUGUUACAGUGGCGAUCUGAAGAAACACGUGACAUGUCAUUCUGGAGAGAAACCAUUUAGUUGCUCUGAGUGUGGGAAAAGAUUUGGUUACAGCCGUGAUCUGAGGGGACACAUGAGAUCUCAUACAGGAGAGAAACCAUUUAACUGCUCUGAAUGUGGGAAAACAUUCGUUUACAGUGGAGAUUUGAACAAACACAUGAGAUCUCAUACAGGUGAGAAACCAUUUAGCUGCUCUGAGUGUGGGAAAACAUUCAGUUACAGUGGAGAUCUGAACAAACACAUGAGAUCUCAUACAGGAGAGAAACCGUUUAGCUGUUCUGAAUGUGGGAAAACAUUUGGAUACAGUAAAAGUCUUAAAGUACACAUGAGAGCUCAUAUAGGAGAGAAACCAUUUAGCUGCUCUGAGUGUGGAAAAAGAUUUGGCCUCAGGGGAAUGCUAGCAGUACACAUGAGAUCUCAUACAGGAGAGAAACCAUUUAGCUGCUCUGACUGUGGGAAACGAUUUUGUCACAGUGGAGGUCUUAAGGCACACAUGAGAACUCAUACAGGAGAGAAACCAUUUAAGUGCUCUGAAUGUGGGAAACGAUUUAGUCAAAGUGGAGUUUUGAAGAUACACAUGAGAUGUCAUACAGGAGAAAAACCAUUUAGCUGCUCGUUUUGUAGGAAGUCAUUUACACAAAAGGGAAAUUUACAUUCACACAUGAAAAGUCAUAAGGAGAAAAGUGAUUGAGCUGUUCAGUCUGGAAAAAAAUUCUAUUUGGAAGAAGAAGAUUAUAAAAACACCCAUGAGAAGUCAUACGGGAGAAAGUCUUUUUAAUUUCAGUGUCUGUAUGAAAUCUUUUACACAGACUAGACAGUUACACAAACACAUUCAAACCCACACUGAAGCUACGGUGUUUCUCACUUCAGAUUGUCUUGGCUUAAACCUUUUUCAGCCUGAGACUAUGACAAGAUGAAAGACUCUACUCAACCUAAACCUUUCUGGAAAAUAUUUAGUGUCAGUAUGUCAUGUGACAGACUGGGGGCAGGCAGACUGACACAGACCCAAACAUUUAUGUAUGGAUGUAUGUUUUUAAAUAUAUGUAUUUACUUACUUACUUACUUACCAAGAUCAGUCUUGUACAGCCAGGGUGAGUAUUUCCCCUCUGACAGCCAAACUGGGUCAAAACCUGUUAUCCGGUGGUGACUGGACUUUUGCUGCUUGUCAGGGUCAGGGCAUGCAGCAAUUUGGCUCUUUCCUGUACUUGGAUCCAGAGCAGGAGAGCUACUCUGGGUGCUAAAUUCUAAAACUGAUUUGAAAAUAGUUUUCUUUUAAGAAUCUGCACAAAAUAGCCCAUAAUGAGUAAGUGAAAACAUCUUUUCAGACAUUUUUGUAAAUUUAUUAAAAAAAAAAAAUGUAAUCAUCGCUCAGCGAUCUUCAUGACUCAGCCUUCAUUUGGAAUUGUGUGUUAUCAGCUUUACUCUCCCAGUUUGGAGAAGCAGACAAGAGAACUGGCAUGGUUAGGUCGGUUCCAAAAAUCACACAACAACACAAACUAACUGUCCAAUCGAAGGGCAGCUGAAGGCCAGCGACUCAUUGUGUUCUGUGAGGUAAAAGUGGAGUCUGGUUGCUUUUAGGAGAGCAUCAUGUAACUGCAUGGGCUGUCUGACAGCAUGGUUAGGUUUUCAAAAUCUCCAUCGUGUUUCUACGGAGACCGGGAGGUGACAUGCAUCUGUUAUUUUUUUUUUUUAAAAAAACUUCUUUUUUUCUUUUGUUUUUUUUUUUUUUGUUUUGAGAGAGAGAGACAAAAAUUUGAGGAAGAAGCCAAGGCCGGGAGACCAGGGUGGAUUCAAGUCUGUGGUUAAGUUCAAAGAUAGGAGUGAUAAAGGCUUAAACAUCCCCAAGUUGUCUGAAGAGAUUAAAAACAGAAUGGGACCUGUAUUGAAUGCAAAAGUGAUGUUCAAUGGAAAUGUGCUAAUUUUCUGUAAAACUGAAGCUCAAAGAGAGAAGGCAAUGAAAGCUCGCUAUUUGCUUAACAGGCCCAUUGAAUGCUUCAUGUUUGACGGCAAUGAGCAAAAUGUGAAGGGAGUAAUAGAUGUUCUGUGGGCAGCUAAGAACCAAACGAGGAGGUCAGACAUGAUCAAAGUAGUGAUAAAUGCAGCGGAAAGGUUCCUUGAGGAGGUGCAAGUAGGCCCAGAGCAGUUACACACACAUUCAUGAGACAGAAGGUGGAAACACAAGAGAGGGAAAGAUUUGCAGAAGGGAAAGGAAGAGUACAGACAGAAGUGAAUACUUUGAAGAGGGAAGCAUGGACACACGUGAGGAUGAUGAUGGUGAUGAUGAUGAUGAUUAGCCUGCUAAUGUUUUACAUAUUGCAGUGGAAUACAAGAAGUUUAAUUUUGAAUGGGCAGGAACUUAAAUGGUUUGUGGACGGAAUAAAGAGUGCGAUAAGGCAGUUAGAGGAAGGAAUUGAGCAUAUAGAGCACUGAGAAAGAGCCCGACAGAGAGUAAUAUGAUAAAGUAUAAAAGGUUGACAGCCAAGGCAAGAAGAGUGAAAAAAAAAACAAAACAAGGAAAGACGCAGCGAAGCCAGGGUCGCACAGACUAGAGGCUGACAUUAGGUUCGAUGAUGUUUUAGAUAGACUAUUCGUUUUUGUUGAAUGUUAGAGAUUAAGAUUGUAUUUGUCUGAUUUGAAGGUUUAUUCUGUGAACAGAAAACGUGUGACUGAUGGUGAAGUUUAGUUGUCACAGACUGAAUACAUUCAUCAUAAACUAUACAGAG